rnacentral:rRNA from 1 species
CGCAUCUGUGCAUGCAGCAUAUCAAUAAGCGGAGGAAAAGAAACUAACAAGGAUUCCCCUAGUAACGGCGAGUGAAGCGGGAAGAGCUCAAAUUUGAAAUCUUAAAGGGUCUCCCUUUACGAAUUGUAGUUUAAAGAAGUGUUUUCUGUUGAGGUUUUGGUAAAAGUUCUUUGGAAUAGGACAUCAUAGAGGGUGAGAAUCCCGUAUUUGACCUUUACUUUCAACUUUGUGAUACACUUUCAAAGAGUCGGAUUGUUUGGGAAUGCAGUCCAAAAUGGGUGGUAAAUUUCAUCUAAAGCUAAAUAUUGGCGAGAGACCGAUAGCGAACAAGUACCGUGAGGGAAAGAUGAAAAGAACUUUGAAAAGAGAGUUAAACAGUACGUGAAAUUGUCAAAAGGGAAGCGUUUGACACCAGUGUUGUUUUUCUGAAAAUCAAUUAAAGAACUGUUUAUGCUAAGCUUGUUUAGACUUUAUCAGCUAUCUGUUUAGUUUUAGGCUUUUCUUUAAUGCACUUUUCAGUUAACAAGUCAACAUCAAUUUCUUUUGCUGUAAAAAAGCUUGAGGAAGGUGGCUUGAGAUUCGUCUUAAGUGUUUAUAGCCUCUUGCCUAUGCAGUCGGAGAGAUCGAGGUCUGCAGCGUAGAUCCUUCGGGGCUAAAUGCAUUUGUGCUAAGUUAUAAGCAUUUUAUAGACAACUUGUUGACUAUGAUUUGUCUUGUAGCUUACUCGCUUAUGUUAUUUUACCUACGCUUAGGAUGUUGAACGCGCACAGAGUCUC